CCUACGGGGGGCAGCAGUAGGGAAUAUUGCUCAAUGGGGGAAACCCUGAAGCAGCAACGCCGCGUGGAGGAUGAAGGUUUUCGGAUUGUAAACUCCUUUUGUUAGAGAAGAUAAUGACGGUAUCUAACGAAUAAGCACCGGCUAACUCCGUGCCAGCAGCCGCGGUAAUACGGCGGGUGCAAGCGUUACUCGGAAUCACUGGGCGUAAAGGGCGCGUAGGCGGGAUAGCAAGGCAGAUGUGAAAUCCUAUGGCUUAACCAUAGAACUGCAUUUGAAACUGUUAUUCUAGAGUAUGGGAGAGGUAGGUGGAAUUCGUGGUGUAGGGGUAAAAUCCGUAGAGAUCAAGAGGAAUACUCAUUGCGAAGGCGACCUGCUAGAACAUAACUGACGCUGAUGCGCGAAAGCGUGGGGAGCAAACAGGAUUAGAUACCCGAGUAGUC
rnacentral:rRNA from 1 species